UAGUAUCAUACUCUUCUCUUCUGUUAUUUUCUUUUCUUUUCUCUGAUUUAUGUACCAUCUCAUCUCACCUCAUCUCACCUCACGUCACCUCACCUCCCUUGUUCCAGCUACUCUAGGUUCAUCUGAAAAUAAACAAUUUAUUUUCAUUUUUUUCUGUUGAAAAUAAUAUCGUUUCCCAUCUGAAAUGCUCACAACCUUGAGGCGUUCAUUGAUCCCUGCUGUCGGGCCUUUUCACAACAUUCUCAUCAAUGGCUUCUGUAAACUCAAUGAGUCUCCUGACCUCCCUGAUUGGUUUAAAACCUUUCGGAGCUUAGGAGACUCAGAUGACGACUUCGUGCUCCCGACCACGAUGACUGUGAUGACUGAUGGUCCUGCCGUUGCUCCUUGUAAUUUGAAUUUGGACCCCACCGACGAUGUUGACAAAGUGAGUAGGUUUCUAAAGAAGAGCAACUUCUCUUCGCCCGAUGCAGUUGUCCAAGCUAUGAUUGGUUGCAGCAGCUGCAGCAUCAUCCUUGUUUCAAACAUCUUAGUUGAUAGAAUUGUUAAGAGAUUUAGCCACGAUUGGGUCCCUGCCUUUGGUUUCUUCAAAUGGGCCAGCAUCCAAAUCGGUUAUGCCCAUUCAUCCGCCACGUAUGAUGCGAUGGUCGAUGUCCUAGGAAAAUCGAAGCAGUUUGAUGCCAUGUGGGAUUUGGUUGAUGAAAUGGAUUGUAAUGGGGGGUUGGUCACGUUAGCAACGAUGACUAAGAUCAUGAGAAGGCUUGCGGGUGCAGGUCGAUGGAUGGAUGCCAUUGAGACAUUUCAUGAUAUUGAGAGCUUUGGUGUAAGCAAGGAUACUUCAGCCAUGAAUGUCCUCCUGGAUGCCCUGUGCAAGGAACGGAGUGUCGAGCACGCGAGAGAUGUGUUUUUGGAGCUGAGGAGUCAGGUUUCUCCUAAUGCUCAUAGCUUCAAUAUUUUGAUACAUGGGUGGUGCAAAGCUAGGCAGCUGGACGAGGCUCAUUCGACUAUGGAGGAAAUGAAAGAUCAUGGAUUCCAUCCUUGUGUGAUUUCAUAUACUAGUUUGGUUGAAGCGUAUUGUGCUGAUAAGAAUUUUCGCAAGGUCAGUGCUCUCCUUGAUGAGAUGCAGGACAGGGGCUGUCCUCCAAAUGUUGUAACUUAUACAAUUGUGAUGCAUUCUUUGGGGAAGGCAAAGCUAACUCAAGAAGCUUUUCAGGUUCUUGAAAAGAUGAAAAAGAAUGGCUGCAGGCCUGAUACAUCAUUCUUUAACUCUUUGAUUUACAUCCUCUGUAAAGCUGGCCGGCUGCAGGAUGCUCGUGACAUAUUCGAGGGUAUGUCUAAGAGUGGAAUUUCUCCUGAUGUAAUGACGUACCAUACCAUGAUUGCUUCUGCUUGCGAGCAUUCAGAUGAAGAAGAUGCUCUUAAGUUACUCCAGAGUAUGAAAGAGAGCUCCUGCAAGCCUGAUCUUAAGACGUAUGCCCCCUUGUUGAAAAUCUGUUGUAAAAGGAAAAGGAUGAAGAUCCUUUGCUAUUUGUUGAAUGAUAUGUUUGAAAAGGAUGUGAGCCUCGACCUUGGAACUUAUUCUCUUCUAGUACAUGGGUUAUGUAGGAAUGGGAAGUUAGAGCAAUCGUGCUUGCUUUUCAAGGAAAUGGUAUUUAAAGGCCUGCGCCCAAAACGACACACCUACAACAUGCUAAUCGAGGAAAUUGAAAGAAAGAAUAUGGAGAAAGCAAAGGAAAGAAUUCAGCAAUUGAUGGUUCGGGCAGAAAGUAUGAACUGAUAUUGCCAUCAUUCUAGAGCUUAUGACGCGCUUCAAACUAAAUAGUUUGUACAAGUGCGGCCUAUGGUUCAAUGGCCAGAUAGUCAAUCUGAUGGGCCCCAUUGUGGAUAGACCAAGCACCCCAAAUCUCCUUGGCUGGAAGAGCCUAGAUAUCUGUCUUUUUGGCCUUUGUCAUUCUUAACACUACUUUGAGUCAGCGUUAAGAAGAAAAGGAGCAGCAGCACUAUAGACUAUGAAGCUUUAAGCCGGCAUGGCUACAGUGGGGGGUUGUCGGUCUUGGAUAUGCCUCCUCCAAUGGGGGCCAAGGAGGACAAAGAGCAAGAUUGG